rnacentral:rRNA from 1 species
AGUUUGAUCAUGGCUCAGAUUGAACGCUGGCGGCAGGCCUAACACAUGCAAGUCGAACGGUAACAGGAAGCAGCUUGCUACUUUGCUGACGAGUGGCGGACGGGUGAGUAAUGUCUGGGAAACUGCCUGAUGGAGGGGGAUAACUACUGGAAACGGUAGCUAAUACCGCAUAACGUCGCAAGACCAAAGAGGGGGACCUUCGGGCCUCUUGCCAUCGGAUGUGCCCAGAUGGGAUUAGCUAGUAGGUGGGGUAACGGCUCACCUAGGGGACGAUCCCUAGCUGGUCUGAGAGGAUGACCAGCCACACUGGAACUGAGACACGGUCCAGACUCCUACGGGAGGCAGCAGUGGGGAAUAUUGCACAAUGGGCGCAAGCCUGAUGCAGCCAUGCCGCGUGUAUGAAGAAGGCCUUCGGGUUGUAAAGUACUUUCAGCGGGGAGGAAGGCGAUAAGGUUAAUAACCUUGUCGAUUGACGUUACCCGCAGAAGAAGCACCGGCUAACUCCGUGCCAGCAGCCGCGGUAAUACGGAGGGUGCAGGCGUUAAUCGGAAUUACUGGGCGUAAAGCGCACGCAGGCGGUCUGUCAAGUCGGAUGUGAAAUCCCCGGGCUCAACCUGGGAACUGCAUUCGAAACUGGCAGGCUAGAGUCUUGUAGAGGGGGGUAGAAUUCCAGGUGUAGCGGUGAAAUGCGUAGAGAUCUGGAGGAAUACCGGUGGCGAAGGCGGCCCCCUGGACAAAGACUGACGCUCAGGUGCGAAAGCGUGGGGAGCAAACAGGAUUAGAUACCCUGGUAGUCCACGCCGUAAACGAUGUCGACUUGGAGGUUGUGCCCUUGAGGCGUGGCUUCCGGAGCUAACGCGUUAAGUCGACCGCCUGGGGAGUACGGCCGCAAGGUUAAAACUCAAAUGAAUUGACGGGGGCCCGCACAAGCGGUGGAGCAUGUGGUUUAAUUCGAUGCAACGCGAAGAACCUUACCUACUCUUGACAUCCAGAGAACUUUCCAGAGAUGGAUUGGUGCCUUCGGGAACUCUGAGACAGGUGCUGCAUGGCUGUCGUCAGCUCGUGUUGUGAAAUGUUGGGUUAAGUCCCGCAACGAGCGCAACCCUUAUCCUUUGUUGCCAGCGGUCCGGCCGGGAACUCAAAGGAGACUGCCAGUGAUAAACUGGAGGAAGGUGGGGAUGACGUCAAGUCAUCAUGGCCCUUACGAGUAGGGCUACACACGUGCUACAAUGGCGCAUACAAAGAGAAGCGACCUCGCGAGAGCAAGCGGACCUCAUAAAGUGCGUCGUAGUCCGGAUUGGAGUCUGCAACUCGACUCCAUGAAGUCGGAAUCGCUAGUAAUCGUGGAUCAGAAUGCCACGGUGAAUACGUUCCCGGGCCUUGUACACACCGCCCGUCACACCAUGGGAGUGGGUUGCAAAAGAAGUAGGUAGCUUAACCUUCGGGAGGGCGCUUACCACUUUGUGAUUCAUGACUGGGGUGAAGUCGUAACAAGGUAACCGUA